rnacentral:rRNA from 1 species
GACGAACGCUGGCGGUGUGCUUCACACAUGCAAGUCGAACGAGGUAGCAAUACCUAGUGGCGGACGGGUGAGUAACGCGUGGGAAUCUGCCUUUAGAUGGGGGAUAACGGGUCGAAAGACUCGCUAAUACCGCAUAUGACGAAAGUUGAAAGGAGUAAUCCGUCUAAAGAUGAGCCCGCGUCCGAUUAGCUAGUUGGUAGAGUAAAAGCCUACCAAGGCGACGAUCGGUAGCUGGUCUGAGAGGAUGAUCAGCCACGAUGGGACUAGAGACACGGCCCAUACUCCUACGGAGGCAGCAGUGGGAAUUUACGCAAUGGGCGAAAGCCUGACGUAGCGACACCGCGUGAGCG